rnacentral:lncRNA from 1 species
GAACCUAGAUUCAGAAAGACAAACAUCACAGGUUCUCUCUGACUUACAGAUUCCAUCUCUGAAUCUUUAGAAUAGAACCUGGACUAACCACAGAAACCAAGUAAAGAGACCAUGGGAAGAGAGCCAUGGACUAUCUAACAACAAUCCCAGUGCCAGGCAGAGGAAAGCUUCAAGUUUGGUCAAGAGAGUUAUCUCCCAGUAAUAUAAGCUAUUGCUGCUGCCGUUGGUAGUCUACCAGAACUCAGAGGCGUUGACACUAUUGCUAAAAAUCCCACAUACUUCACACCCAAGACUUGGAAGAAUCAAGCUGAACUGACCUGGAAGCCUCCUCCCUGAAGACUAGCUCUCUGAGCGCCUGAAGAUACUACGCAGGCUGCCAGAGGAGAAAAGCCACCAGCAGUCCUACCCAGCUGUGAAGCCUACGAACCACACAGACCAGCACAGCCAUAGAGCCUCAAGGGUAAAAUGGUAGCACUUAAACCUGGGGCAACCACAGCUGUCUAUCGGAAGAAGAAACUCAACAACAUCCUCCUGCAUCAAACAGCAGGAAUCCAGGCCAGAGAUCAAGUCAACAGGAACAAGCGGAAUUUCUAGUCUUAUGUUUAGUUUUAUGGUAACAAAGCCAGCAUCAUGGUAAUACAGUCUAAA